UGUUCGUGAAGCGCCCUGGCUUGUU
rnacentral:misc_RNA from 1 species